CCAGCAGUAAUAAAGUUAUAUCAGGAGCCACUGGGUAAUCCAUAGCAGCUUAAAGUAGAUUCGGCCUGCAUGUCCAUUCACAAUAAACGAAAGCACUAAACUCGAGUCCGUUAUUAAUGUCAUGACGCUAGUUCUAUAAUCAUUCUCCCAAAACUGAAAAAAUAAAUGAAAAGCAGCAGAAAAAAAUCAUAAUGGGAAACUGGGAGGGCGGGUAAAUCUUAUAGCUUUGGUCAAGCUCCGUGUAAGGUUUGAAUCCAAAUGACCAAACUACACGAGGUAAAUUGCACGGACUAACAUUUCGCGGGCUAAACUAAUUAGCAUAUAAAAGUGACCAGUAAAAAAUGAAUCAAACACACCGGCAAUUAAAAUCAUACCAAGUUAUAUAAUUACAAUAACCGAAUUUAAUUAUUAUUGAAUUAAAUUCUAUUAUUGUAUAU
rnacentral:lncRNA from 1 species